UGUAUUAGGAUUACCAGUGUGUACCACUAU
rnacentral:piRNA from 1 species